rnacentral:lncRNA from 1 species
AUGCAAUUAACAAUGUAUUGCAGAGACAUGGUCACAAUAUGGACUCUAAUGUUGUUUUUAGUGCUACCUCCAAAGGUGCAGUUGUCCUCUUGUAAGCGAAGAAAGACAUUUAUAGAGCGCAACUAUCCAUUGGUAAUGCCAGUAGAGUACCAUUUAGAAGCACCUGGUCAUACCAUGAUGUAUGUUCCAAUCCUUCAAAUGAUUCAGGAGCUGUUUAAAAACACAGAUAUCCUGAGCAAGAUCAGAGAACCAAACACUGAGCCUGGUUAUUAUGUGUCAUAUCGUGAUGGCUCUCAUUUCCAGGAAAAUGAAUUGCUCUCAACAGAAGAUCUACACCUAGCAAUACAGCUAUACAUUGACGAUCUUGAAAUCGCUAACCCUCUCGGCACAUCACGUAAAGUUCACAAACUUUGUGCUGUAUACUGGGUCCUAGCAAAUGUGCCGCCCAAGUAUAGAGCAGCAAUGCACACUAUACAGUUGGCCAUGCUAGCUAAAGUGACAGACCUCAAGAAAUAUGGAUAUGCAGCUGUACUUGCUCCACUGGUUCGUGAUAUUCACACGCUUGAACAGGAUGGUGUUUUCAUUGAAUCUGUUGGUCAGAAUGUGAAAGGCACCAUCUUCUGUGUUUCUGCUGACAAUCUGGCUGCACAUGGGUUAGGUGGCUUUUUGGAGUCAUUCAGAGCAGGUUAUGUUUGCAGAUUCUGCAUGGCCACAAGUGAACAGUUUCAAACAACUGAGGUAAAAAAGGAGGAAUUUGUACAGAGAACCAAAGCGAGUCAUGACAUUCAUGUACAAAAUGUCCUCCAAGAUGAGAGUUCAAGGAGCCAAUUUGGGGUUAAAGGUGAUUGUGUCUUGCGUGAGUCACUUGAGCACUUCCACCCUAUCACAGGUUUUCCUCCAGAUCUACUACACGAUCUUUUGGAAGGAAUCGUUCCAGUUGAACUGGCACUUUGCAUUAGAGAAAUGAUUCGGCUUAAGUACUUCACUUUAGAGUAUUUGAACCAAAGGAUCACAUCAUUCCCAUAUCAGCACACUGAUAAAGUAAAUAAACCUCAUCCAGUUCCCAAAACAUUAAUGACCCGGGGAACAAUAGGAGGCAACGGGCAUGAAAAUGCUGCGCUGUUAAGACUACUUCCGUUACUUGUAGGAAGUAAAGUACCAGAGGGUAAUGUUGCAUGGGAGGUUUUGAUGGACUUGAAAGAGUUGGUGGAAUUAGCAUUGUGCCCAUCAUUUUCUGAUGAAACAUUGGACUAUUUUGUUUGCAAAAUCAGUGACCACAGACAGAUCCUACAAGAGGGUUUCCCUGAGUUGAGGCUUCGUCCUAAGCAUCACUAUGUGGAGCACUAUCCCACCUUAGUUAAGUGCUUCGGGCCCCUGGUGCAUGUUUGGACCAUGCGAUUUGAAGGUAAACAUCGUUUCUUUAAGAGUGGUGCAUGA